GGUAAGGUGGCUCAGUGGUAGAGUGCUUGCCUCGCAUGCAUGAGGCUCUGGGUUCGAUUCCUCAGCACUA
rnacentral:tRNA from 1 species